rnacentral:rRNA from 1 species
ACGGAAGGCAGCAGUGGGGAAUUUUGCGCAAUGGGGGGAACCCUGACGCAGCAACGCCGCGUGCGGGAUGAAGGCCUUCGGGUUGUAAACCGCUUUCAGCAGGGACGAUUAUGACGGUACCUGCAGAAGAAGCUCCGGCUAACUACGUGCCAGCAGCCGCGGUAAUACGUAGGGAGCGAGCGUUAUCCGGAUUCAUUGGGCGUAAAGCGCGCGUAGGCGGCUUGCUAAGCGGAACCUCUAAUCCGAGGGCUCAACCCCCGGCCGGGUUCCGAACUGGCAGGCUCGAGUGCGGUAGGGGCAAGUGGAAUUCCAUGUGUAGCGGUGGAAUGCGCGGAUAUAUGGAAGAACACCGAUGGCGAAGGCAGCUUGCUGGGCCGACACUGACGCUGAGGUGCGAAAGCGUGGGGAGCGAACAGGAUUAGAUACCCUGGUA